UACGUAGGGGGCAAGCGUUGUCCGGAUUUAUUGGGCGUAAAGAGCGUGUAGGCGGCUUUACAGGUCCGUUGUGAAAACGUCGAGGCUCAACCUCGAGACGCCGGUGGAAACCGUAAAGCUAGAGUCCGGAAGGGGAGAGUGGAAUUCCUGGUGUAGCGGUGAAAUGCGCAGAUAUCAGGAGGAACACCCGUGGCAAAAAGCG
rnacentral:rRNA from 1 species